CCUACGGGAGGCUGCAGUGAGGAAUAUUGGUCAAUGGGCGAGAGCCUGAACCAGCCAAGUCGCGUGAGGGAGUACUGCCCUAUGGGUUGUAAACCUCUUUUGUCGGGGAGCAAAAGCCGGACGUGUCCGGCUGUGAGAUUACCCGAAGAAAAAGCAUCGGCUAACUCCGUGCCAGCAGCCGCGGUAAUAGGGAGGAGGCGAGCGUUAUCCGGAUUUAUGGGGUUUAAAGGGUGCGCAGGCGGAUUUUUAAGUCAGCGGUCAAAUCGUGGGGUUCAACCCCAUCCAGCCGUUGACACUGGGGAUCUAGAGUGUGCGAGAGGUAUGCGGAAUGCGUGGUGUAGCGGUGAAAUGCAUAGAUAUCACGCAGAACCCCGAUAGCGAAGGCAGCAUACCGGUGCACAACUGACGCUCAGGCACGAAAGCGUGGGUAUCGAACAGGAUUAGAUACCCGAGUAGUC
rnacentral:rRNA from 1 species